CCUCGAUACGUUCUUAUUAUACAUCCAUGCUCGAUACACACUUCACCAAAAACUUCCUGGAUUACUCGAACCACGAUAAGCAGCCUCGGUGCAGUACGUCACAUCACUACUGUUCCCUCCUUAGCUCUAGUCUCCUUGGCUGAUUUCUCUAAUUGAUUUCACCUGACCUGAUGAGGAGGAAGCUGCUCGCUCAUUCAGCUGCAGGUUUGUGCUCCAACAUCUCAGAAGAAUACCUGUAGCUGCUCAGGUGAAUCUGAAGAUCUUCGUCAUCUGGAGCCAAGAUGACCGUCCUUCAGAUCUUGCCGUGCUCGGUGUCUCAGUUGCUGUCUGCGUCUAAAGUCAGCAGCGACACGUUUGCACUCUGCGACCUGGAGUUCAACCAGGUGUCUGUCGUUGGCGUCGUCAGAGAGUUGGCUCCUUUUGUGAAAUACGUCCAAUACUGUUUGGACGACAUGACGGGUCCUCCUCUGACCGUGAGGCAGUGGGUGAACUCAGAGG